GAGUUUGAUCGUGGCUCAGGACGAACGCUGGCGGCGUGCUUAACACAUGCAAGUCGAACGGUAAGGCUCCAGCUUGCUGGGGUACACGAGUGGCGAACGGGUGAGUAACACGUGGGUGACCUGCCCUGCACUUCGGGAUAAGCCUGGGAAACUGGGUCUAAUACCGGAUAGGACCGCACCGUGAGGGUGUGGUGGAAAGUUUUUUCGUGU
rnacentral:rRNA from 1 species